GUACCCGUGUUGGAAUUUGGUAGACAUGUCUGACUUAGAAUCAGAUGCAUAUAGCGUAAGAGUUCGAAUCUCUUCGGGUGCACCA
rnacentral:tRNA from 1 species